UGGCCUACGGGAGGCAGCAGUGGGGGAUAUUGCACAAUGGGGGAAACCCUGAUGCAGCGACGCCGCGUGGGCGAAGAAGUAUUUCGGUAUGUAAAGCCCUAUCAGCAGGGAAGAAGAAAUGACGGUACCCAAGGAAUAAGCCCCGGCUAACUACGUGCCAGCAGCCGCGGUAAUACGUAGGGGGCAAGCGUUGUUCGGAAUGACUGGGCGUAAAGGGUGUGUAGGCGGUGUAGCAAGUUAGAAGUGAAAUACCUAGAGCUUAACUCAGGUGCUGCUUCUAAAACUGCUAUACUUGAGUGCAGUAG
rnacentral:rRNA from 1 species